CGUUCUGGGGGAUGGGGUUAGUGGUGGCAGAGUUUCAGAGGUAUGUGAAUGGAUCACUGAAUUGCCUUAGAAUUCCAAAUUCUGGAAUCAGAAAUCUUCUGGAAUUGGAAGUGAGUCUAAGUCAGGGGGCAGAGUGAUCACAUCACCGUGAGUGCCCAGGAGGGGCAGGUCUACAAGGUUCUGCAGAGACACAUCUGGAGAAAUGGCUGGAGGAUAUGACCUUUGAGUACAACAGCCCCGUCGGUUUGACCCUGAAGUGCCACAGUGCUCCCCGUCCGUCUGCAAAGUCGGCCCUUUCGUAGAUCCUGAUUGUCUGAACUUAUUCUAUAACACCCAGCUCAAAGGUCACUUUCUCCGGAGAAAGCUUCCCAGGCGCACCAGGCUCGAUGACUUGGAAUUGUAACGGCGCAAUAUCAGUCUCCAUACCGUAGAACCUUUCAAGACAGAGCAAGUCACAUGGUCCUGCACAACUUUAAAUAGGAGGGAGAAUUGCAAACGCAAGCCUACCCUGUGCCCAAAAGGAGGGGGACCAGAACGUCUGUGAAUGUCCCUAGGACUAUCAGAGGCCGAAAGCUGACGGCGCAGUCUGCUAAUACGCGGUCACCUUUGGCUACGAAGAACCUCCACUUCAAGGUCAGAUUCAGCAGCUACCCCCAGGCUUCUCGAUGGUUUGGAAUUAAAUUUUGACACUAGGUCUUUUUGUCUCUUCUCAUUUCCCCACUUGGUUAUACUUUAAGCAGAUAGGUGAUCCUGUCAGCCUUAAGGAAACAACAGAAAGCAACAAAUUUAUGUAAAACAUCCCACUCUCUAAUUAAAUCUCUCUGCCACUCCAAGAUUUGGGCUUGGAUGCUGAUUUGCACUUAAAAAAAAUCAAAACAGAAGCCCAAAUUCAAGAAAACUUGCAAAAUGCUUUCGCGUUGUUCUCCAGGACUGACGUGUAAACACAAAGAAUGCUUUUAUUUCCCCCACAACAAACACCUUUGUUUUUGUUGCUUGACGGCUUGGAUCGGGAUUCUGUUUCAAGAUAAUUGAAAGCAGCUUCUAAAUGCAGACGCAGUGAAGCAGGCCAGGGGGAGAUGUACGUGGAGGGGUGCGGGGGACAAACCUUAAUCAGGCGGUUGUGGGUCUCUGGCCUGGCCUGCAGUACCUGUGGGCUCAGGCUGCGCCUCCAGAAGAUCUAUCGUCACAACCCUGCAGACCACCUCCCCCCGCCCCAAAUCAAGUGAGGGUGUGUUAGUUGACUAUUUCUGUAACAAAUAACUCCCAAACUUAGCAAUUUAAGUCAGCAAACACUUAUUAUUUCACCCAGCUUCUGAGGGUCAGGAGUCCAGGAGGGGCUUAUUUGCUCGGUUCUGGCUGAGGCUUUCUCAUGAGUUUGGGGUCAAGCUGUUAGCUGGGGCUGAGUGCUGAACUGGGGCUGGCGGAUCCCUUUCCAAGCUCACGCACGUGUUGUUGGAGGCCUCAGGUCGUUGCUAGCUGUUAGCCAGAGGCCUCAGUUCCAUGCCAUGUGCUCUUCUCCAUAGAGCCAUUCGUGACAUGGCUGCUGGCAUCCCCAAGUGCUGUGACAGACAGAGAGACCAAGAGGGGAGUCCGUCUUUCAUAAGCUAUUCUUGGAAAUGGCACUUCUCCUCUGCUCUCUUCCCCUGGUCACACAGACUGACUCUGGUAGAGUUUGGGAGGACAAUACACAAGGAUGUGAGCAUCAGGAGGCGGGGAGCGCUGUGGUCCUUUCAGAGGCUGGUUAUCGCAUGAGAAUAAACUUGAAGUGCCCACUACGGCCAAGAGCUGGGUGAUUUACGUAGGUUAUCGCAGUGCUUACAAUAACCCGGCAUGGUAGGUGCUGUUAUAAAGCCCGUUUCCCAGAUGAAGAAACUGAAUUUCAGAGAGGUUAAGUAGCCAAAUGCUAUCUGGGCAGGAAGUGUCUGAGGCAGGGCACAAAACAAAAUCUGUCUCAUGCAAAACACUUCUGGGAGUUGCACGACUACGGGGUGGAGCAAGGAUGGCCUAGCGUGGUCUUGAGAGUCGCCUUUGAAGUCAGCCUGACCUGGCCUCUACUCUAGACACUGCCACUCACGCACUGUGCGGCCGUGAGCAAGCUCCCGACCGCUCCCGCCUCUGUGUCCUCGCCUGUGGGACGGGGCAGGACGAGGCACCCUCUGCACGAGGCCGUGAGGGGAUUAGAUCCGGCGACCGAUGUGCUGACUCAGCGCCGGGCACGGCAGGGGCUCCGUAAAUGCUGAUGCUCUGGUUGAGCCCCGCACCCUGCCCCUGGCUGGAGCCAAUCCCUCUCCCCACUGGGCCUCAGCUUUUCUAUCUGAGAAAUGAAGACAGUAGGUUAUCUGUCCCAGGUCACUUCCAAUUCACAGUCCGUGAAACUUUUUUUUUUCCUGCUUUUAUCUCCCCAACCACCGCCCCCCACCAACCCCGUACACAGUUGUAUAUCU